ACCAGCUCUAGGAACAGCUAACUCUCUUCCAGUAUUCUUCUGAUGGAAAAGGGAUUCAAAUACCCAUGGAGAGAGUCACCAGUGGCCUUAAUUGCUUAUGUUUCCGAGGCAGUUUACUUUACAAGACUUUUGAUUUUUGUUCUUAUUUUUGAAACCUUAUUUUUAAUACGGCUUUAAUGGCAACAAAAAUGAAGUCUUCUGACCCACUACCAUAUCUGGGUAAAAUCUUUGGCUCAACGGAUGGCUUAAAUAUGACCUUUUUCAGUUUCAAGCAGGUUCCAUUGAGAGGCAUCUAGCAACUCUGGAUACAUCAACAACCUUGAUUCACCUUCAAGGAACAUUACCUAGAAAACACUAUAAAGUGUGGCUGUGAUGCAUGGAGACCAGCAACCCCAAGUCAUACCCUUCACUGUGGAAGAAUUGGGGUAAAUAUCAACAAUUGGUACAUAUCACUAUCAACAAUUGGUAAAUAUCAAUAAUUACAUCAUGUCCCUUCUGUUUGUCAAUAGUAAAUGAAGUUACAUUGUUUCAUUUGUUUGCAAUAGUUAAGCAUCACCAAAAUAAAAAAAUUAACACUUUGAGGACUAGAGUUUUCUUCAUAUGGUGAGCUGCUAUCUAGUAGGUUAGGAAGCCUUAUAAAUAUCAUAAAAAGAUAUCACUCCUGUAAGUAAGAAGCCACUCACCAUUUUCUAAUGCUUAGAUACAUAUUUUGAUUAUGCCAAAUGCAAAAUUGAUUUUUAAAACUUUAUUCAACUUCAUGAUAUGAAGAAGAAAUAGAGGCAAUAAGCAGUAUUUAAAGCAUUUGACUAUGUCACUGAUCC
rnacentral:lncRNA from 1 species